rnacentral:rRNA from 2 species
GAUCGUAACAAGGUUUCCGUAGGUGAACCUGCGGAAGGAUCAUUA